AGAGUUUGAUCCUGGCUCAGAGUGAACGCUGGCGGCAGGCCUAAUACAUGCAAGUCGAACGGCAGCACAGCAGAGCUUGCUCCUGUGGGUGGCGAGUGGCGGACGGGUGAGGAAUACGUGGGAAUCUGCCCAGUCGUGGGGGAUAACGUAGGGAAACUUACGCUAAUACCGCAUGCGCCCUUCGGGGGAAAGCCGGGGACCUUCGGGCCUGGCGCGAUUGGAUGAGCCCACGUCGGAUUAGCUAGUUGGCGGGGUAAAGGCCCACCAAGGCGACGAUCCGUAGCUGGUCUGAGAGGAUGAUCAGCCACACUGGAACUGAGACACGGUCCAGACUCCUACGGGAGGCAGCAGUAGGGAAUAUUGGACAAUGGGCGCAAGCCUGAUCCAGCCAUGCCGCGUGAGUGAAGAAGGCCCUCGGGUUGUAAAGCUCUUUUGUCCGGAAAGAAAAGCGCCGGGUUAAUACCCUGGUGUCCUGACGGUACCGGAAGAAUAAGCACCGGCUAACUUCGUG
rnacentral:rRNA from 1 species